AGUACUUUAAUUAUCCAAUAUGUCUCUCAUUGCAGCUCAUUUAUGUGGUGCCAAGAAAGAGUUUAUCUUGAUAUCCAGUGUUGCUUACCUGACUGUGCAUUUUAAGACUGAUGAGUCUGUGGGAUACAGAGGUUUUAAGCUUAUUUUAGAAGAGAUGAUUCAGGAACAAUCACAGAAAAGCAACAUUGAGACCCAAUAUCCUCUCAGUGCCUUUUUAAUUAGGAGAGUUUUCAUUACUAAUCUGGUGCCAGAGGAAGAUGAUAAAAUAAAUUUACUUUAUAUGUAUGACUGCUGGAUGGGGAACAAUUGAAUUUCAUAGGAGAUUGUGGAAGAACACCGCAAUGUGCCCGGCAUGGGAAGUCCAAGCUUGUUGACAUUGUGAGCUGAGGCAGCAGUUACUGCCAUCUCACUGCAUCAUCUUCACAAGAAUUUCUGCCUGCCGGGAUUGGAUCACAUCUGUCACUGGAGAAGUGAGAUCACUGAAAGAGCAGUGUGCUACAAUUGUGAUUACAAAUGGGAAAAGAAAUGCAUAACAGUACACCAGAAAAAUGAGUGUCUUGUCAGUGCUGAAAUAUUCAGUGUCACUUCCACCCAUCAUUAUCAUUGCAGAGGUUGGUGUUAGUGUGUUUGUACAUUCAAUAUUAAACAUUGGCCACAGAAAGUUAAUGUUGU
rnacentral:lncRNA from 1 species